rfam:Hepacivirus hominis isolate 365502 polyprotein gene, complete cds
CCACAGCCGGCUGCAAGCCAGCUGGACUUGUCCAGCUGGUUCACUGUCGGUUACAGCGGGGGAGGCGUUUAUCACAGCACGCCUCGUGCCCGGCCCCGCUGGUACAUGUUAUGCCUACUCCUACUUUCCGUAGGGGUAGGCAUCUAUUUCCUCCCAAACCGAUGAAGGUUGGGCUAA